rnacentral:rRNA from 2 species
UAAAUGCGGAAGAGAUAAGUGCUGAAAGCAUCUAAGCACGAAACUUGCCCCGAGAUGAGUUCUCCCUGACUCCUUGAGAGUCCUGAAGGAACGUUGAAGACGACGACGUUGAUAGGCCGGGUGUGUAAGCGCAGCGAUGCGUUGAGCUAACCGGUACUAAUGAACCGUGAGGCUUAACCUUACAACGCCGAAGCUGUU